UAAAAUUGAGUUACCUCGAGAAAAAUUAGCUUUCUACUAUAGGAAGAUUGAAAAUGCAGAAAGAGUUGUUUUGCAGUUUAAAGAUUUUUAAGAUCCAAAUUAAUGUAUUUAUUGUUUCUUUCUAUUUUGUUGUUUUGUGUCAUUCUAAAUGUUGACGUUAGGAGAAAGAGAAAGAAAUGGUGGCAAAUGGCAAUGACAAUCGAUGCAAAGGAGGAGGAGGCGGAGCGCAGGUGCUGUGGUGGUGGAGUUGGGUAAGGUGGAAAUUAUUCUGGAUUUAGGUGUCGCUUUUUGCUGAAGUUUCAAAACCAAUGACAUUUUCGUCUACUCCGUUAUAUAAUUUAAAUGUCAAGAAAGGAAAUUUUGGUGAGAUUGAAAUCACCGGGAUUUUCAAACCCAUUUUAUGUUAAUUUAAAUCUAAUUAUAAUCAUGAUAAAUAUCUUUUAGAUUAUGGUUGUGAUAAUUUGGGACCAAAAAAGUUAAAAAGUGAUUAGACCAAGUUACCCAUACGGAAAAUAAAUAAUGACAAAGGAGUCUGUAUUCUUUUGGUAGAAGCAACAGCUUAGCUGUAUGCGAUGUUUGGAAAGUAAUGUUUUUGUGUUUUUGUGUUUUGUAUGUGUUACUAUGGACCACCGUCACUACAGCUCAUAAGGCUUAAUUCUAUACGGGUCUGUUACCAUGCUCCGCCGCUGCAUCUGCUCUCAUGCAUCACCUCUAAUAUUUCGCUUUGUCUGCGCUUGGAACACGUAAUUUAGUGUUGCUAUUUGAUUUCAUCAUACACAAAUUAGCCCAUAUAACAAAUAUAUUAUAUAAAUAAAUUAUGGGUGCUUGUUUGUCAUACACUAUGUGAAUUAUUGUUAGUUUGGGAUAUAGGCUUGAUUAAAUGCUGACCCCUAAUCUUUGGUAGGGGUACACUAUCAAUGUGGGUUAACUUUGCCUAGAAAUAUAGACCCCGUGGUGACUCCAUUUUUCAACUCCAAGCCAACUCCUUUUGUCGACGUCUAAUGUCAACAGGUUUAACGUAUUAUCGGCUUUAUGAAUUUCCUGGAUGAUCACAAUUGUUGCGGGCGAUUACAACGCACCAAUUUAGCUAGAGCCCGUGACAAGAGGCUUGUAUCGGUGGCGGUUGUGUUUCUCCAUCCAUUUUUCUCCUAGAAUUAGAAAUUUGUCUCAGGUAGGCCUUGACUUUUUUUUUAAUUGUAUUUAUUUGGGUUUAAUUUUAAUUUAAAGGGAGGUAUCCACUUACAUUGGUUUGGUUUAAAAGUUAAGUGGAUUUAUAUCUUUUUUAUUACUUUUUAUACAAAAAAUAUUUUAACGAUUCAACAAUUGAAUUUAUUAAGAUAUUUGUACUUGGUAUGCAUGUAAUUUUUUUAAUCAAUUAG
rnacentral:lncRNA from 1 species